UGAUAAUGCGACUGACAGCAUAUGGGUAAAAAGUGUGUUUUGGUCAGGUGUAAAUCGCAGUAGGACAGGACCAUAACGUUAUCACGCUAGCAAUAAUAACUUAGUAGUAACCGAGGCAAAGGGUUAUGUUUAGG